AUACGGAGGAUCCGAGCGUUAUCCGGCUUUAUUGGGUUUAAAGGGAGCGUAGGUGGAUUGUUAAGUCAGUUGUGAAAGUUUGCGGCUCAACCGUAAAAUUGCAGUUGAAACUGGCAGUCUUGAGUACAGUAGAGGUGGGCGGAAUUCGUGGUGUAGCGGUGAAAUGCUUAGAUAUCACGAAGAACUCCGAUUGCGAAGGCAGCUCACUAGACUGUUACUGACACUGAUGCUCGAAAGUGUGGGUAUCAAGCAGGAUUAGAUACCCUGGUAGUCCACACAGUAAACGAUGAAUACUCGCUGUUUGCGAUAUACAGUAAGCGGCCAAGCGAAAGCAUUAAGUAUUCCACCUGGGGAGUACGCCGGCAACGGUGAAACUCAAAGGAAUUGGCGGGG
rnacentral:rRNA from 1 species